rnacentral:rRNA from 1 species
UACGAGGGGGGCAAGCGUUGUUCGGAAUUACUGGGCGUAAAGACGUGCGCAGGCGGCUUUGCAAGACAGAUGUGAAAUCCCCGGGCUUAACCUCGGGAACUGCAUUUGUGACUGCAUCGCUGGAGUGCGGCAGAGGGGGAUGGAAUUCCGGCGUGUAGCAGUGAAAUGCGUAGAUAUGCGGAGGAACACCGAUGGCGAAGGCAAUCCCCUGGGCCUGCACUGACGCUCCAUGCACGAAAGCGU